rnacentral:rRNA from 1 species
GACGUAGGGGGCAAGCGUUGUCCGGAAUCAUUGGGCGUAAAGCGCGCGUAGGCGGCCCGGUAAGUCCGUUGUGAAAGUCAAAGGCUCAACCUUUGAACGCCGAUGGAUACUGCCGGGCUAGAGUCCGGAAGAGGCGAGUGGAAUUCCUGGUGUAGCGGUGGAAUGCGCAGAUAUCAGGAAGAACACCCGUGGCUAAGGCGGCUCUCUAGUACGGUACUGACGCUGAGACGCGAAAGCGUGGGGAGCGAACAGG